AUUGAACGCUGGCGGCAUGCUUUACACAUGCAAGUCGAACGGUAACAGGGUGCUUGCACCGCUGACGAGUGGCGAACGGGUGAGUAAUGCGUCGGAACGUGCCGAGUAGUGGGGGAUAACGCAUCGAAAGGUGUGCUAAUACCGCAUACGAACUGAGGUUGAAAGUGGGGGACCUUCGGGCCUCACGCUAUUCGAGCGGCCGACGUCUGAUUAGCUAGUUGGUGAGGUAAAGGCGCACCAAGGCGACGAUCAGUAGCGGGUCUGAGAGGAUGAUCCGCCACACUGGGACUGAGACACGGCCCAGACUCCUACGGGAGGCAGCAGUGGGGAAUUUUGGACAAUGGGCGCAAGCCUGAUCCAGCCAUGCCGCGUGUCUGAAGAAGGCCUUCGGGUUGUAAAGGACUUUUGUCCGGGAGCAAAUGCUGGUGGCUAACAUCCACCGGAGCUGAGAGUACCGGAAGAAUAAGCACCGGCUAACUACGUGCCAGCAGCCGCAGUAAUAC
rnacentral:rRNA from 1 species